GGGAAUGUGUCUUAUUUGNCAAAGUACUUGUCUACUGCACACAAAGCCCUGGGUUCAAUUCCCAGCACCCA
rnacentral:tRNA from 1 species